CCUACGGGCGGCAGCAGUGAGGAAUAUUGGUCAAUGGGCGCGAGCCUGAACCAGCCAAGUAGCGUGAAGGAUGUCUGCCCUACGGGUUGUAAACUUCUUUUAUAAAGGAAUAAAGUGAGGCACGUGUGCCUUUUUGUAUGUACUUUAUGAAUAAGGAUCGGCUAACUCCGUGCCAGCAGCCGCGGUAAUACGGAGGAUCCGAGCGUUAUCCGGAUUUAUUGGGUUUAAAGGGAGCGUAGAUGGGUUGUUAAGUCAGUUGUGAAAGUUUGCGGCUCAACCGUAAAAUUGCAGUUGAAACUGGAGGCCUGGAGUGCAUAGAGGGAUGCAGGAAUUCAGGGUGUAGCGGGGAAAUGGUUAGAUAUCAUGAAGAACUCCGAUCGCGAAGGCAAGUGUCGGGGGUGUAACGGACGCUGAGGCUCGAAAGUGCGGGUAUCAAACAGGAUUAGAUACCCUUGUAGU
rnacentral:rRNA from 1 species